UACAGAGGGUGCAAGCGUUGUUCGGAAUUAUUGGGCGUAAAGCGCGUGUAGGCGGCUUUGCAAGUCGGGUGUGAAAGCCCUCAGCUUAACUGAGGAAGUGCGCCCGAAACUGCAUUGCUUGAGUACCGGAGAGGGUGGCGGAAUUCCCCAAGUAGAGGUGAAAUUCGUAGAUAUGGGGAGGAACACCGGUGGCGAAGGCGGCCACCUGGACGGAUACUGACGCUGAGACGCGAAAGCGUGGGUAGCAAACAGG
rnacentral:rRNA from 1 species